UACAGAGGGGGCAAGCGUUGUUCGGAAUUACUGGGCGUAAAGGGCGCGUAGGCGGCCUUCUAAGUCGAACGUGAAAUCCCUGGGCUCAACCCAGGAACUGCGUCCGAUACUGAAAGGCUUGAAUCCGGGAGAGGGAUGCGGAAUUCCAGGUGUAGCGGUGAAAUGCGUAGAUAUCAUUAGGAACGCCGGUGGCGAAAGCGAUCGACUGGACCUCUUCUGACGCUGAGGCGCGAAAGCCAGGGGAGCAAACGGG
rnacentral:rRNA from 1 species